rnacentral:rRNA from 1 species
ACUCCUACGGGAGGCAGCAGUCGAGGAUCUUCGGCAAUGGGCGCAAGCCUGACCGAGCGACGCCGCGUGCGGGAUGAAGGCCUUCGGGUUGUAAACCGCUGUCGAGGGGGAGGAAAGCCCGCAAGGGUUUGACCUAGCCCUGGAGGAAGCACGGGCUAAGUUCGUGCCAGCAGCCGCGGUAAU